rnacentral:tRNA from 1 species
CUGAUAGCUCAGUUGGUAGAGCGACGGACUGUUAAUCCGCAGGUCCCUGGUUCGAGUCCAGGUCGG